rnacentral:rRNA from 2 species
UGAGGGAUAUUCGGCAAUGGGGGAAACCCUGACCGAGCAAUGCCGCGUGAGGGAUGACGGUUUUCGGAUUGUAAACCUCUGUCCUCUGUGAAGAUAAUGACGGUAGCAGAGGAGGAAGCUCCGGCUAACUACGUGCCAGCAGCCGCGGUAAUACGUAGGGAGCAAGCGUUGUCCGGAUUUACUGGGUGUAAAGGGUGCGUAGGCGGAUUAGCAAGUCAGAAGUGAAAUCCACGGGCUUAACCUGUGAACUGCUUUUGAAACUGUUGAUCUUGAGUGAAGUAGAGGUAGGCGGAAUUCCCGGUGUAGCGGUGAAAUGCGUAGAGAUCGGGAGGAACACCAGUGGCGAAGGCGGCCUACUGGGCUUUAACUGACGCUGAGGCACGAAAGUGUGGGUAGCAAACAGG